AAACCAACAGGGAUUGCCUUAGUAACGGCGAGUGAAGCGGCAAAAGCUCAAAUUUGAAAUCUGGCACCUUCGGUGUCCGAGUUGUAAUUUGAAGAAGGUAACUUUGGAGUUGGCUCUUGUCUAUGUUCCUUGGAACAGGACGUCACAGAGGGUGAGAAUCCCGUGCGAUGAGAUGCCCAAUUCUAUGUAAAGUGCUUUCGAAGAGUCGAGUUGUUUGGGAAUGCAGCUCUAAGUGGGUGGUAAAUUCCAUCUAAAGCUAAAUAUUGGCGAGAGACCGAUAGCGAACAAGUACAGUGAUGGAAAGAUGAAAAGAACUUUGAAAAGAGAGUGAAAAAGUACGUGAAAUUGUUGAAAGGGAAGGGCUUGAGAUCAGACUUGGUAUUUUGCGAUCCUUUCCUUCUUGGUUGGGUUCCUCGCAGCUUACUGGGCCAGCAUCGGUUUGGAUGGUAGGAUAAUGACCUUGGAAUGUACCUCUACUUCGGUGGAGUAUUAUAGCCCUGGUUGAUACUGCCUGUCUAGACCGAGGACUGCGUCUUUGACUAGGAUGCUGGCAUAAUGAUCUUAAGCCAC
rnacentral:rRNA from 1 species